rnacentral:rRNA from 1 species
AGUUCCUACGGGGGGCAGCAGUGGGGAAUAUUGCACAAUGGGGGAAACCCUGAUGCAGCGACGCCGCGUGAGUGAAGAAGUAUUUCGGUAUGUAAAGCUCUAUCAGCAGGGAAGAAAAUGACGGUACCUGAUUAAGAAGCCCCGGCUAACUACGUGCCAGCAGCCGCGGUAAUACGUAGGGGGCAAGCGUUAUCCGGAUUUACUGGGUGUAAAGGGAGCGCAGGUGGCAAGGCAAGCCAGAAGUGAAAACCCGGGGCUUAACCCCGCGGAUUGCUUUUGGAACUGUCUGGCUGGAGGGCAGGAGG